GACGAACGCUGGCGGCGUGCUUAACACAUGCAAGUCUACGAGAAUAAGGUAGCAAUAUCUUUAGUAAAGUGGCGCACGGGUGCGUAACACGUAAGCAAUCUACCUUUGGGUUUGGAAUAACUUCGAGAAAUCGAGGCUAAUACCGGAUAAUGCAGCGGCACCGCAUGGUGAUGUUGUUAAAGUCAUUUAUGGCACCAUAAGAUGAGCUUGUAUCUGAUUAGCUAGUUGGUAGGGUAACUGCCUACCAAGGCUACGAUCAGUAGCUGGUCUGAGAGGAUGAUCAGCCACACUGGAACUGAGAUACGGUCCAGACUCCUACGGGAGGCAG
rnacentral:rRNA from 1 species